rnacentral:rRNA from 1 species
AUUGAACGCUGGCGGCGUGCUUAACACAUGCAAGUCGAGCGGUAACAGGCGUAGCAAUACGUGCUGACGAGCGGCGAACGGGUGCGUAAUACAUCGGAAUCUGCCUAGUAGUGGGGAAUAACCCGGCGAAAGCCGGGCUAAUGCCGCAUACGAUCCACGGAUGAAAGCGGGGGACUUUCGGGCCUCGCGCUAUUAGAUGAGCCGAUGUCGGAUUAGCAGUUGGUGAGGUAACGGCUCACCAAGGCGACGAUCCGUAGCUGGUCUGAGAGGACGGCCAGCCACACUGGGACUGAGACACGGCCCAGACUCCUACGGGAGGCAGCAGUGGGGAAUAUUGGACAAUGGGGAAACCCUGACGCAGCGACGCCGCGUGGGUGAUGAAGGCCUUCGGU